UACGUAGGGGGCUAGCGUUGUCCGGAUUUAUUGGGCGUAAAGAGCGUGUAGGCGGCCAUGUAGGUCCGGUGUGAAAACUCGAGGCUUAACCUCGAGAUGUCAUCGGAAACCAUUUGGCUAGAGUCCGGAAGAGGAGAGUGGAAUUCCUGGUGUAGCGGUGAAAUGCGCAGAUAUCAGGAGGAACACCGGUGGCGAAGGCGGGUCUCUGGGCCGAUACUGACGCUGAGGAGCGAAAGCGUGGGGAGCGAACAGG
rnacentral:rRNA from 1 species